rnacentral:rRNA from 1 species
AUUGAACGCUGGCGGCAUGCCUUACACAUGCAAGUCGAACGGUAACGCGGGGCAACCUGGCGACGAGUGGCGAACGGGUGAGUAAUACAUCGGAACGUGCCCAGUAGUGGGGGAUAGCCCGGCGAAAGCCGGAUUAAUACCGCAUACGACCUACGGGUGAAAGCGGGGGAUCGCAAGACCUCGCGCUAUUGGAGCGGCCGAUGUCGGAUUAGCUAGUUGGUGGGGUAAAGGCCUACCAAGGCAACGAUCCGUAGCUGGUCUGAGAGGACGACCAGCCACACUGGGACUGAGACACGGCCCAGACUCCUACGGGAGGCAGCAGUGGGGAAUUUUGGACAAUGGGCGCAAGCCUGAUCCAGCCAUGCCGCGUGCGGGAAGAAGGCCUCGGGUUGUAAACCGCUUUUGUCAGGGAAGAAACGGUCUGAGCUAAUACCUCGGACUAAUGACGGUACCUGAAGAAUAAGCACCGGCUAACUACGUGCCAGCAGCCGCGGUAAUACGUAGGGUGCAAGCGUUAAUCGGAAUACUGGGCGUAAAGCGUGCGCAGGCGGGCUUUUGCAAAGACAGAUGUGAAAUUCCCCCGGGGCUCAGCCUGGGAACUGCAUUUGUGACUGCAUCGCUCGAGUGCGGCAGAGGGGGAUGGAAUUCCGCGUGUAGCAGUGAAAUGGCGAAGAUAUGCGGAGGAACACCAAUGGCGAAGGCAAUCCCCUGGGCCUGCACUGACGCUCAUGCCACGAAAGCGUGGGGGAGCAAACAGGAU